rnacentral:rRNA from 1 species
GAUGAACGCUGGCGGCGUGCCUAAUACAUGCCAGUCGAGCGAACAGAUGAGGAGCUUGCUCCUCUGACGUUAGCGGCGGACGGGUGAGUAACACGUGGAUAACCUACCUAUAAGACUGGGAUAACUUCGGGAAACCGGAGCUAAUACCGGAUAAUAUAUUGAACCGCAUGGUUCAAUAGUGAAAGACGGUUUUGCUGUCACUUAUAGAUGGAUCCGCGCCGCAUUAGCUAGUUGGUAAGGUAACGGCUUACCAAGGCAACGAUGCGUAGCCGACCUGAGAGGGUGAUCGGCCACACUGGAACUGAGACACGGUCCAGACUCCUACGGGAGGCAGCAGUAGGGAAUCUUCCGCAAUGGGCGAAAGCCUGACGGAGCAACGCCGCGUGAGUGAUGAAGGUCUUCGGAUCGUAAAACUCUGUUAUUAGGGAAGAACAAAUGUGUAAGUAACUAUGCACGUCUUGACGGCACCUAAUCAGAAAGCCACGGCUAACUACGUG